GCUCUGGUAGCCUAGUGGUUAGUGCGUCUGCUUCGGAUGCGGGAGGCUGUGGGUUCGAACCUUGGAUGAGUCAUACCAGAGACU